rnacentral:SRP_RNA from 1 species
GUCGGUCGCAGUGGUGUGUGCCUGUAGUCCCAGCUACUCUGGAGGCUGAGGUGGGAGGAUCGCUUGAGCCCAGGAGUUCUGGGCUGUAAUGCACUAUGCCUAUCGGGUGUCCACACUAAGUUCAGCAUCAAUAUGGUGACCUCCUGGGAGCAGGGGACCACCAGUUUGCCUAAGGAGGGGUGAACCGGCCCAGGUCGGAAACGGAGCAAGUCAAAACUCCCAUGCUGAUCAGUAGUGGGAUCGCGCCUGUGAAUAGCCACUGCAUUCCAGCCUGGGCAACAUAGCGAGACCCUGUCUCU